rnacentral:rRNA from 1 species
GAUGAACGCUGGCGGCGCGCCUAACACAUGCAAGUCGAACGAUAGAUGAGGAGCUUGCUCUUCAAAUCGAGUGGCGAACGGGUGAGUAACGCGUGAGGAACCUGCCUCAAAGAGGGGGACAACAGUUGGAAACGACUGCUAAUACCGCAUAAGCCCACGGCUCGGCAUCGAGCAGAGGGAAAAGGAGUGAUCCGCUUUGAGAUGGCCUCGCGUCCGAUUAGCUAGUUGGUGAGGUAACGGCCCACCAAGGCGACGAUCGGUAGCCGGACUGAGAGGUUGAACGGCCACAUUGGGACUGAGACACGGCCCAGACUCCUACGGGAGGCAGCAGUGGGGAAUAUUGCACAAUGGGGGAAACCCUGAUGCAGCGACGCCGCGUGGAGGAAGAAGGUCUUCGGAUUGUAAACUCCUGUUGUUGAGGAAGAUAAUGACGGUACUCAACAAGGAAGUGACGGCUAACUACGUGCCAGCAGCCGCGGUAAAACGUAGGUCACAAGCGUUGUCCGGAAUUACUGGGUGUAAAGGGAGCGCAGGCGGGAGAACAAGUUGGAAGUGAAAUCCAUGGGCUCAACCCAUGAACUGCUUUCAAAACUGUUUUUCUUGAGUAGUGCAGAGGUAGGCGGAAUUCCCGGUGUAGCGGUGGAAUGCGUAGAUAUCGGGAGGAACACCAGUGGCGAAGGCGGCCUACUGGGCACCAACUGACGCUGAGGCUCGAAAGUGUGGGUAGCAAACAGGAUUAGAUACCCUGGUAGUCCACACCGUAAACGAUGAUUACUAGGUGUUGGAGGAUUGACCCCUUCAGUGCCGCAGUUAACACAAUAAGUAAUCCACCUGGGGAGUACGACCGCAAGGUUGAAACUCAAAGGAAUUGACGGGGGCCCGCACAAGCAGUGGAGUAUGUGGUUUAAUUCGACGCAACGCGAAGAACCUUACCAAGUCUUGACAUCCUGCGACGCACAUAGAAAUAUGUGUUUCCUUCGGGAGCAGAGACAGGUGGUGCAUGGUUGUCGUCAGCUCGUGUCGUGAGAUGUUGGGUUAAGUCCCGCAACGAGCGCAACCCUUAUGGUCAGUUACUACGCAAGAGGACUCUGGCCAGACUGCCGUUGACAAAACGGAGGAAGGUGGGGAUGACGUCAAAUCAUCAUGCCCUUUAUGACUUGGGCUACACACGUACUACAAUGGCGUUAAACAAAGAGAAGCAAGACCGCGAGGUGGAGCAAAACUCAGAAACAACGUCCCAGUUCGGACUGCAGGCUGCAACUCGCCUGCACGAAGUCGGAAUUGCUAGUAAUCGUGGAUCAGCAUGCCACGGUGAAUACGUUCCCGGGCCUUGUACACACCGCCC